ACGACUACAUAUCAGGCAUAUCAAUAAGCGGAGGAAAAGAAACUAACAAGGAUUCCCCUUAGUAACGGCGAGUGAAGCGGGAAGAGCUCAAAUUUGAAAUCUUCAAGGUUCUACCUUGACGAAUUGUAGUUUAAAGAAGUGUUUUCGGUUAGAGGAGUUUGGUAAAAGUUCUUUGGAAUAGGACAUCAUAGAGGGUGAGAAUCCCGUAUUUGACCAUUUCUUCUAGCUGUGUGAUACACUUUCAAAGAGUCGGAUUGUUUGGGAAUGCAGUCCAAAAUGGGUGGUAAAUUUCAUCUAAAGCUAAAUAUUGGCGAGAGACCGAUAGCGAACAAGUACCGUGAGGGAAAGAUGAAAAGAACUUUGAAAAGAGAGUUAAACAGUACGUGAAAUUGUCAAAAGGGAAGCGUUUGACACCAGUGUUGUUUUCUCGAAAAUCAAUUAAAAAUGACCUGAUUUUGUGUUGUAUUGACCUUAUCAAGCUUUCUUCACUUUUUUCAUUGUCUUUUUAAUGCACUUUUCGUUUAACAAGUCAACAUCAGCUUCUUUUGUUGUAAAAGGGUCAUUGGAAGGUGGCUUUCACUUCGGUGAAAGUGUUUAUAGCCUUUGACUUCUGCAAUCGGAGAGAUUGAGGUCUGCAGCGUAGAUCCUUCGGGGUUAGAUACAGUUAGAUGCUAAGUUAUAGUUUUUCAUAGACAACAUGUUGACUAUGAUUAAUCAUGUAGCUUACUCGCUUAUGCUAUUUUACCUACGCUUAGGAUGUUGACGCGCGUGUGUGCGUG
rnacentral:rRNA from 1 species